rnacentral:rRNA from 1 species
GACAGAGGUGCCGAGCGUUAGGCGGAAUCACUGGGCUUAAAGCGUGUGUAGGCGGCCCGUUAAGUGCCUCGUGAAAUCCCCCGGCUCAACCGGGGAACUGCCGGGCAUACUGGCGGGCUUGGGUCGCUCAGGGGCAGACGGAACAGGCGGUGGAGCGGUGAAAUGCGUAGAUAUCGCCUGGAACGCCGGUGGCGAAAGCGAUCCGCUGGCCCUCUACUGGACGCUGAGGCGCGAAAGCCAGGGGGAGCCAAAC